rnacentral:rRNA from 1 species
GACGAACGCUGGCGGCGUGCCUAAUACAUGCAAGUCGAACGCAUUUUCUUUCACCGUAGCUUGCUACACCGAAAGAAAAUGAGUGGCGAACGGGUGAGUAACACGUGGGUAACCUGCCCAUCAGCGGGGGAUAACACUUGGAAACAGGUGCUAAUACCGCAUAAUUCCAUUUACCGCAUGGUAGAUGGAUGAAAGGCGCUUUUGCGUCACUGAUGGAUGGACCCGCGGUGCAUUAGCUAGUUGGUGGGGUAACGGCCUACCAAGGCUGCGAUGCAUAGCCGACCGGAGAGGGUGAUCGGCCACCCUGGGACUGGGACACGGCCCAGACUCCUACGGGAGGCAGCAGUAGGGAAUCUUCGGCAAUGGACGCAAGUCUGACCGAGCAACGCCGCGUGAGUGAAGAAGGUUUUCGGAUCGUAAAACUCUGUUGUUAGAGAAGAACAAGGAUGAGAGUGGAAAGUUCAUCCCUUGACGGUAUCUAACCAGAAAGCCACGGCUAACUACGUG